GUCAAGAUCAAUAGUUUGAUUAAUAUUUUGAGAUUUUAAAAUAGCUUUAAGAAGUAAUUAAAUUUUACUUAAAAUUUUUUUUGGAUUUGAUUUAGGAUUUAGGUUUUAAUUUAAGAUUUAGGAUUUGAUUUAGAUUUGGUAUAAGAUUUGAUUAGGAUUUUUUUAGGAUCCAAUUAGAAUUUAAUUAGUAUUUGAUUAAGAUUAGUAUUUAAAUUUUAUUUAAAAUUUAAUUAAAGUUCUAUUUGACUUGGUAGGAUCUUAUCAUUAUAUUUUUUAUUUGUCUUCUAUAAAUAGGUAUUUGGUGCAUUCUCAAGUAAGAUAUCAUGUUACACAAUAAUGAGCCUAACAAAAAUGAUGUUAAACUUUGAAUAAUAUAAAUAAUUCAUACUAUACUUGAAAUUAGUGUGCAUAUUUGUCAAAAAUCAAUUUUUACAUUAUUGGAGUUGUAUAUAUGCUGUAAUUAAUUAUGCAUCGAGAAAUUAGGGAGUUAUUAGAGUGAGAUUGGAAGGUAGAUGAAAUAUAAGAUAUUAUUUGGAGAUGAGCAAAAAUAAUGAAGAAUGGUGGAAAAAAUCCAAUUCAAAUAUGCUAGAUUACUUACAAUUGGAUGUUUGGAUUUUUGUUGCCUUAUCCUCACAUUCACAUCUGUGGAUAGCACAAAACUUUGUGAAGUUUGUUAGCAUUAAUAAGUACUAUCCAUCACAAUUUUCUAAAAAUUGGAUUUUUGAUUUUAUAACC
rnacentral:lncRNA from 1 species